ACUCCUACGGGAGGCAGCAGUGGGGAAUAUUGCACAAUGGGGGAAACCCUGAUGCAGCCAUGCCGCGUGUGUGAAGAAGGCCUUGGGUUGUAAAGCACUUUCAGUAGGGAGGAAGGUAGUGUAGUUAACACCUGCAUUAUUUGUACGUUACCUACAGAAGAAGCACCGGCUAACUCCGUGCCAGCAGCCGCGGUAAUACGGGAGGGUGCGAGCGUUAAUCGGUAAUUACGUGGGCGUAAAGCGCAUGCAGGCGGCCUGUUAAGUCAGAUGUGAAACGCCCGGGGUCUUAACCGUCGGAAUUGCAUUUGAAACUGGCAGGCUAGAGUCUUGUAGGAGGGGUUAG
rnacentral:rRNA from 1 species